UCCAUGCUAUCCAGAAACCUGAUAAAAUAUGCAUGUCCCCCAUCCUUAACAAGAUCAACUUGGCAUGACUUGUCAAGUGCCAGAAUUUUUGUCCAUAUGAAUACGAGAAUUUGCCUUAGUUCUGGUGUUGUUUGUUGUUUGCAACAGCUUCAAAACAUAUGGAAAUAUUCCAACAGAUAAUGCCAGAUCUACAGCCCAGGAUCCCAUAUCGAGAAAUCUCCCAAGAAGCACCAGAGCUUUAAACCGAUGGCUUUGACUAAGUAGAACCUGGAGAACAAUAGGCAACUGCUCUGGUGGCUUCUUAUCUUCAGAUCCAUGAUCCAACCAAACCUCAAAAGCCAUCAGCUGCUCAGUGAAAAAAGGACUUGGCUGGAACUCGGCAUUAGGAUCCUCA
rnacentral:misc_RNA from 1 species